rnacentral:rRNA from 1 species
CAGUAGCCACGGUAAUACGAGGGGGGCAAGCGUUGUUCGGAAUUAUUGGGCGUAAAGGGUGCGUAGGCGGUUUGGCAAGUUUGGUGUGAAAUCUUCGGGCUCAACUCGAAGUCUGCAUCGAAAACUGCCGGGCUUGAGUAUGGGAGAGGUGAGUGGAAUUUCCGGUGUAGCGGUGAAAUGCGUAGAUAUCGGAAGGAACACCUGUGGCGAAAGCGGCUCACUGGACCAUAACUGACGCUGAUGCACGAAAGCUAGGGGAGCAAACAGGAUUAGAUACCCCCGUAGUCCCUGUCUCUUAUAC